AGGGACAUAGCUCAGUGGUGCAGCACCUGUCUGGCAAGCACAAGAUCUUGAGUUUAAUUCUCAAUACCCCCC
rnacentral:tRNA from 1 species